UAUGGCAACUCCAACAUGGCUGCCUCAAGCCAGGUGUGUCUGAGGCCAAACGAUAGACAUGGGAUGGAAGCAGGCCUCCUGGCAAGAAAACGGUUUUCAGCGUGUUAUUUUAACGUUUCUUGCACUAUUUUGGACUCUAUUCUCUCUUGAAUCAUCAACUCAUCAAGCCAUCUACCAGCCACAACCAUUCUGACUGCACGUGAACAAACAAAUGGUACCGGGGACGCCAGGCAGGCUGUUGCAGUCGCGCAGGGUGAAUUUGAUCUCGAUGUAAACGCGCUGGGCUCCUUCCCGGCUGAUGUGGCGCGUCCGCAGCCAGUUGUUCUGGUUGGCCUGCAUGACAUUGCACACCUGGUACGUCCUCAUCGGCGUGUUCCGCUCAUCCAUCACGCUGAUCUCCUCCCACUGAACUAAACACAUGGGAAGUGGUGUCUAUCAUGGCAAGGUUGUUGAAAAAGGUAAGAAGAGGGAAAACAGAAAUGGGAAGAUGAAUGAAAGCGGAAAUACUUGAGGUAAGCGCAGGACGUGAAAGGAACGAGAGGAAGCCUCCUUUUUUAACGCUAUACCAAGCAGCUUGAUGUCAUCAACACACAACUCCAGGAUGGUCUUAUUUCAUGGCUCGGUCCAUGGAUAAACAAGAUCUCAGUCCCCAAGUUUUUUUUGGGGUGGGGAACUGGAUUCACGUUCAAUGAAGUGCGGUGCAGCACAACCUACAAGUUCUGUUUUGAAGUCCGACUGAGUAUGAGUGAUGAGCUGUGUCAGGAUGACUGGCGCACUGUCUUGUGCGUGUGCCGCACAUAUGAAAGUAGAAACCCGAUUUUUCUCGAGCGAAGGUGCUCACAGGGGAAGGAUCGUGUGUGUACACGUGCGUGUAUGAGGAGGUAACACACAGAGCAACUUUGUCUCCCAUCAUUUUCUGCCAUCUGUUUCCACUUGUGACUAAGGCAGUAAUUGAGACCACUUCUCGCAUGAGCAGGAAAACAUUUCUAUCCACACGCACACACAAAUACACACGUACAGUCGCCGCGCACAGAAAGAGCAUUUCUAUUCCUUAAAGACAAGAAAAAUAAACCAAUGUGGUUUCAGUGUUAAAGGAUAUCUGAUCCAUUGAAGGGGAAACCGACUGGACACGUGCGCCAAGACACACACACGCAUGCAAGUGGAAGAAAUGUUUGUGAGCAUGGAGAAGACCACCAUAUUUGUUCUGUACUCCUGUCAUCAUCCUGAUCCUCAAGCUUCACAGUUAUGAUGAUGACAUUGCCUGGUAACCAUGGAAACGUGCUGUGCAACAUCACGUGGUUUUAUUACAAAGUGAUACGACGCUUUAGCACUGUGUUACAUCCGUAAGUGUCCAGCUGUGACACACACCACUCGGGGAUUUGCAUUUUUCAUGGAUUUCUUUUUUUUUUUUUUUUUUGCCAGAAUUUUAAAACAGCAGGAGUUAUUGAGUUCAAGUUUGCCAUAUUGUUGUCUUAAAAUGUAUUUAUUAUAAUUAAAAGUAACAUAGCUGCCUUCAACACUACAAAAUAUUACAAGCAUACUGUAGUAAUUAUUUUGAUUAAUUUUCUGUCAUUGUACUGAUAUCUGAUGUGUAACUUAAUUACAUGCCCAAAAUUGACUUUUUUAAAAGAUUCUUUUAAAAUACAGCAAACACAGUGCUUCAAUGUGAAUUCAAACUAAAUUAUCAUAACAGACAGCAAACAAACACAAAUUAACAAAAAUAUACCUUAUACUGUAAGUCUGUCCAUAUUAAGUUUUAGCAUCACAAAACCCUGAUACAUUUUUGCAACUACAGGAUGUAUAACAAUGUGAAUGAAGACAUACUGAUUCCGGUUUAAAAAAAAAAACAACAACUUUGGGGUCAUUCCUUGAAAAUAUGCCCUUUUUUUAUUAUGCAUACUUAGAUUCUUUUUAAUUUAAAAUUGUACAAUUUUUUGGGAAUACUAUUUUACACCAAAUUGGUUUACUCAUGCAAAGUAAAUUGCUAUUUUUCAACUAUGCAACUCCUGUAAAAUAUUUACAGUAUAAAAACUUAUUAAAAUCUCAAAGGAAAAAAGUAAA